rnacentral:rRNA from 1 species
CCUACGGGUGGCAGCAGUGAGGAAUAUUGGGCAAUGGAGGCAACUCUGACCCAGCCAUGCCGCGUGAGUGAAGAAGGUUUUCGGAUUGUAAAGCCCUAUCGGCAGGGAAGAAGCAAGACGGUACCUGACUAAGAAGCCCCGGCUAACUACGUGCCAGCAGCCGCGGUAAUACGUAGGGGGCGAGCGUUAUCCGGAUUCACUGGGUGUAAAGGGAGCGUAGACGGCCAUGCAAGCCAGGGGUGAAAGCCCGGGGCCCAACCCCGGGACUGCCCUUGGAACUGCAUGGCUGGAGUGCGGGAGGGGCAGGCGGAAUUCCUGGUGUAGCGGUGAAAUGCGUAGAUAUCAGGAGGAACACCGGCGGCGAAGGCGGCCUGCUGGACCGCGACUGACGUUGAGGCUCGAAAGCGUGGGGAGCGAACAGGAUUAGAUACCCUAGUAGUC